AUUCCAGCUCCAAUAGCGUAUACUAAAGUUGUUGCAGUUAAAAAGCUCGUAGUUGAAUUUCUGGUCUUGGACGGCGGUCUACCACAAUUGUGGUACGUACCAACUGUCCGAGUCCAUCCUCGGGGAAAACAUGCCUGUGAUUCAGUUCAUGGGUAUGGGAUCCUCGUCAUUUACUGUGAGCAAAAUAGAGUGUUCAAAGCAGGCUUAUGCCGUUGAAUACAUUAGCAUGGAAUAAUAAGAUAGGACCUUGGUCUAUUUUGUUGGUUUGUACUCCAAGGUAAUGAUUGAUAGGGAUAGUUGGGGGUGCUAGUAUUGGCCGGCCAGAGGUGAAAUUCUUGGAUUCGGUCAAGACUAACUUAUGCGAAAGCAUUCACCAAGGAUGUCUUCAUCA
rnacentral:rRNA from 1 species